rnacentral:rRNA from 1 species
ACAGAGGUGGCAAGCGUUGUUCGGAAUUACUGGGCGUAAAGGGCGCGUAGGCGGCCCGCCAAGUCCCGUGUGAAAGCCCCCGGCUCAACCGGGGAACGGCGCGGGAAACUAGCAGGCUUGAGUUCGGGAGAGGGAAGCGGAAUUCCGGGUGUAGCGGUGAAAUGCGCAGAUAUCCGGAGGAACACCGGUGGCGAAGGCGGCUUCCUGGACCGACACUGACGCUGAGGCGCGAAAGCUAGGGGAGCAAACGGGAUUAGAUACCCCGGUAGUCCUAGCCCUAAACGAUGAGAACUGGGUGUAGGGGGUAUGAACCCCCCCUGUGCCGAAGCUAACGCAUUAAGUUCUCCGCCUGGGGAGUACGGUCGCAAGGCUG